GACGAACGCUGGCGGCGUGCUUAACACAUGCAAGUCGAACGGAAAGGCCCUGCUUUUGCGGGGUGCUCGAGUGGCGAACGGGUGAGUAACACGUGAGUAACCUGCCCAUGACUUUGGGAUAACUGCAGGAAACUGGGGCUAAUACCGGAGAGGAGCUCCUGCUGCAUGGGGGGGGUUGGAAAGUUUCGGCGGUUGGGGAUGGACUCGCGGCUUAUCAGCUUGUUGGUGGGGUAGUGGCCUACCAAGGCUUUGACGGGUAGCCGGCCUGGGAGGGUGAACGGGCACAUUGGGACUGAGAUACGGCCCAGACUCCUACGGGAGGCAGCAGUGGGGAAUAUUGCACAAUGGGCGGAAGCCUGAUGCAGCAACGCCGCGUGCGGGAUGACGGCCUUCGGGUGGUAAACCGCUUUCGCCUGUGACGAAGCGUGAGUGACGGUAAUGGGUAAAGAAGCACCGGCUAACUACGUG
rnacentral:rRNA from 1 species